rnacentral:rRNA from 1 species
AGAGUUUGAUCCUGGCUCAGGAUGAACGCUGGCGGCGUGCUUAACACAUGCAAGUCGAACGGGGUACCCUUGAAGGAGGCUUCGGCCAACAGAUAGGAAUACCUAGUGGCGGACGGGUGAGUAACGCGUGAGGAACCUGCCUUGGAGUGGGGAAUAACAGUUAGAAAUAGCUGCUAAUACCGCAUAAUGCAGUUGGGUCGCAUGACUCUGACUGCCAAAGAUUUAUCGCUCUGAGAUGGCCUCGCGUCUGAUUAGAUAGUUGGCGGGGUAACGGCCCACCAAGUCGACGAUCAGUAGCCGGACUGAGAGGUUGGCCGGCCACAUUGGGACUGAGACACGGCCCAGACUCCUACGGGAGGCAGCAGUGGGGAAUAUUGGGCAAUGGGCGCAAGCCUGACCCAGCAACGCCGCGUGAAGGAAGAAGGCCCUCGGGUUGUAAACUUCUUUUAUUCGGGACGAAGAAAGUGACGGUACCGAAUGAAUAAGCCACGGCUAACUACGUG